GGAGUCUAACGUGCGCGCGAGUCAUUGGGCGUUAAAACCCAAAGGCGCAAUGAAAGUGAAGGGAGGGCUCGCCCCUCCCCAGGGACGAUGGUCGUCGGCCGAGAGGUCGCGUCCCGCAGUCCCGGGGCGUCCGCCCGCCGAUUGCCGGUGGGGGCGCACUCAGAGCGCGCGCGCUAUGACCCGAAAGAUGGUGAACUAUGCCUGGCCAGGACGAAGCCAGGGGAAACCCUGGUGGAGGUCCGUAGCGAUUCUGACGUGCAAAUCGAUCGUUAGAGCUGGGUAUAGGGGCGAAAGACUAAUCGAACCAUCUAGUAGCUGGUUCCCGCCGAAGUUUCCCUCAGGAUAGCUGGCGUUCACGAGACCUCGAGUCUCAUCUGGUAAAGCGAAUGAUUAGAGGCCUUGGGGUCGAAACGACCUCAACCUAUUCUCAAACUUUAAAUGGAUGAGAACCCCGGCUUGCUCGAACCAACCAUUCAGUGAAGCCGGGGCGUGCGGAUCAGAGUGCCAAGUGGGCCAUUUUUG
rnacentral:rRNA from 1 species